AUUGAACGCUGGCGGCAGGCCUAACACAUGCAAGUCGAACGGUAACAGGAAGACGCUUGCUUCUUUGCUGACGAGUGGCGGACGGGUGAGUAAUGUCUGGGAAACUGCCUGAUGGAGGGGGAUAACUACUGGAAACGGUAGCUAAUACCGCAUAACGUCGCAAGACCAAAAAGGGGGACCUUCGGGCCUCUUGCCAUCGGAUGUGCCCAGAUGGGAUUAGCUAGUAGGUGGGGUAACGGCUCACCUAGGCGACGAUCCCUAGCUGGUCUGAGAGGAUGACCAGCCACACUGGAACUGAGACACGGUCCAGACUCCUACGGGGGGCAGCAGUGGGGAAUAUUGCGCAAUGGGCGCAAGCCUGAUGCAGCCAUGCCGCGUGUAUGAAGAAGGCCUUCGGGUUGUAAAGUACUUUUAGCGGGGAAGAAGGGAUUAAAGUUAAUACCUUUGCUCAUUGACGUUACCCGCAGAAGAAGCACCGGCUAACUCCGUG
rnacentral:rRNA from 1 species